CCUUCCCACCUGGGUCCACUCCAAAGUAAUUCUCUUCCCUGACGGACUGGAGAGCUGCUCCAUGAACCUGGUCACACCCGAAGAGGUGCUCUGGUACACCCUCUAUCAGACCAUCACAUCUUUCUUUCUGCCCUUGCCCCUUUAUCCUCACCUGUUACAUGCUGAUCCUGUGCUAUACCUGGAGGAUGUCCGUGAAGAACAAGAGAGAACCGCACUUCAGUGCUAACAACCAGUCCCGGGACCGAGCCAUCCGCCUUACCAAGAUACUUCUUGUCCUGUGGUGGUUUUCCUGGUGAGCGUAGGGCCCUACCACACGCUCUAGCUGGUCAACUUAACACUGCGGCGGCACCAGCUGGCCUACUACACCUGAUACUACCUGUCAGUGUGUCUCAGCUACGCCGCCAGCAGCAUUAACCCUUUCAUCUACAUCCUGCUCAGCGGACACUUCCGUUGCCGACUCACUUACAGCCGACCAGCAGGCCUAGUGUUGAGAGGGAGCCUUGUCGGCCCCAGGUCCGUACACCACAUUCCAGCUUCUGACCAUCCUGUCCUCAAAGCAGGCAAACAUAUGGAUGCAUGCACGCAUACAAGCGUAUCCCCACACGCGCUCGCAUCCACACACACACACAUACACACACACCACCACCAUUGCAGCCUAUCCCCAGCACACUGCCUGGUGCAUUACCUAUGGCAGGAGAAUGAUAUUUUGGUCAAGGAGUGCUUUAAUAUACAUUGUGGAUUGACUUACACCUCAACAGGAUCAGAGUGUUAUUAUUUAUUUUCUAUUAUGGUUUCCAAAUGGACUGUACGGUAGAAUGCUGUAGUUAUUACAUUGUAAAGUAAUUAUGUUCACAUGAGUAAUUCCUUCUGUUAAAGAAAAUACAUAUAUUGUUAAUGGAUCAGCCUCAUGGGUGGUUAGCAUAACACACUAGGGGUUAUUGCCUGUUAAGAUAUUUUUGU
ensembl:lncRNA